UAAUUAUUUGUGUUUAUGGCUUAUGUAGUUGUCUUACGUGUGGUUCUAAUCCCUUUAAUUGUCCGGACCGACUUCGGUCACCGGAAUAAUGAAAUAUAACAGACUAUACAAAUAGGGGUGUUACAAGGGCCUCUUCUAAAAACAGAUUGGCCUUCAAUACCUGAUUCUUUAAUCAUGUAUGAAAGACCCUUUGCACAAAAAAGAAAAAGAUUGGGUGAAAGAGAACCCCCUUGUCUGAGAUACCUCUGGUAAAAUGUAUGAACUCUAUUUGAAAGCCGUUGAUUUGAAGAGUAUAUGUAACAGAUUUCACACAUUCCUUGAUCCAAGCUAUCCAUUUAUAGUGAUAACCCAAUUUAGAAAGCAAAUGCUGAAGAUAAGAUCAUUCAAUACAUUCAUAUGCCUUGCUGAUGUCAAGUUUAACUGCCAUGCCAAAAUUGGAACUUCUUCGUCUUCUUGAGAAAUCAUGCAUUAUCUCAUGGCAUAUAAGUAUAUUAUCUGAAAUGAAAACGCCUCUAGUGAAAGCACUUUGUUCUUCUCCAAUAAUGUUGUCCAUAAAAGGUUGGAUCCUAUGAACAAGAAUUUU
rnacentral:misc_RNA from 1 species